rnacentral:rRNA from 1 species
GACGAACGCUGGCGGCGUGCUUAACACAUGCAAGUCGAGCGGUAAGGCCCUUUCGGAGGUACACGAGCGGCGAACGGGUGAGUAACACGUGGGUGACCUGCCCUCAGCUCUGGGAUAAGCCUGGGAAACUGGGUCUAAUACUGGAUAUGACUCCACGGUGCAUGUCGUGGGGUGGAAAGCCUUGUGCGGCUGAGGAUGGGCCCGCGGCCUAUCAGCUUGUUGGGGGGUGAUGGCCUACCAAGGCGACGACGGGUAGCCGGCCUGAGAGGGCGACCGGCCACACUGGGACUGAGACACGGCCCAGACUCCUACGGGAGGCAGCAGUGGGGAAUCUUGCGCAAUGGGCGAAAGCCUGACGCAGCGACGCCGCGUGAGGGAUGACGGCCUCGG